CAGAGGAGCAGGAAGGCAAAGCGGAACAGGAUUAGAUCAUCUCAACGCAUAUCUAUCAAGCACAAGGUCCCGGACCAGCCAUCGGGAGCACCAGGGGGAGAGAGUAGCGUUGGGAGUGCCUCAGUAGGAGUGAGUGAUGAACAACAGAAAUCCACUAGUUCAGAGCAACCGGCAGGACAUGAGAUAAGGAGUACCUUCAACGCACGCACACACACACACACACACACACACACACACACACACAAACAGACAGAGCUUUUCCCACCAUGGAAGCAAGUGGAAGAAAACGACGAGGGAAAAGAGUCUGAGCUUCUCUGCAGCGUUGUUUUUUUCCAUGGGGACCCAGCCCACUGGCUGUGAAAGAUCAACAGACUUUUCAUCCUAGUUUCAUCUGGUAUUACUCUGAUUAUUUAUGGCCUAAUCCGGAUUUGCUCCUUUAUUUGUAAAUAUUCAUCCAUGUACUGUUCAUUUGUGAGUUCUCGAUACAAGGGGAGGGGGGGAAAGACGUAUAUUGUAUUUAUAAGCAUCAAGAACACAAAUGUAAAAUAAUGGUUCCUUAUUAUUAUUAUUAUUAUUAUUACUAUGAAAGAAAUAUCAUGUCGUCUUGAAUGUGCCAACUGCUCUCUCUCUCUCUCUCUCUCUCUCUCUUGCUCUCCCCCCCUUCUCCCUUUUUUGUUUUAGAUUAUUUUUAUUCAAAAUGUAUACGCUGAGAAAGAGAGCGGCCAGCGGCCCUUUCUCUGUUGUCAUCGCGAAGCAACAGAAAACCUGAAGCACAAAGUGUGUUUGUUUGUUGAACGGGAUGUAAGGGGGGCCGGGGUACAGGGCGAGCAGCACCAAUAGGGUGGGAGCGCUGGGAAGGGGGAGUGACCUGGGGGUGGGGAUGAGGGUAGGGAGGAGUAUUCGGAAGGUGUAUUUUUCGGUGCUUCUGGACAACCACCUCUGCCUGGACUCUUGUACACUGGGCGUCCCCCUACGCACACUACACUAUGAAUGUCGUCCCCCACUACGGUGGGGUUUUAUUUCAGUCUUCUUUGGUUUUAUUUACGGCCCGGGAAAUGAUUGUGUCGGAAGACGGACAGGCUUUAUAAAAGGUUUGAUUGUAAACUCCACCAUCGCCC
ensembl:lncRNA